UAGCAGAAGCUUUAACAACCCGGUGAAAGGUCAAACGCGAGAGGACAGAGAAACGAAGAAUGUCACCUGCAUCAUUAACUGAGCCGUAUCUUUGUACUUCGCUAACGGGAGUCGCUGUGAAAUUAAUUUCCAUAAUGAUACUAAUGUUAGACCCAAAUGGAUGAGGUCAAGGUGAAAACUUGUGCAUUUGUCAGUUUGUCUGAAAACAGAGAAAACAUGAUGCUUAUUGGACAUUUGAUCCAUUUCACUGCAACAUCUGCUCAUUUGCAUGACUCCUGAGCGAGAAAGUCCUGCACCUGCAGCAGCUAGCAGCUGUUAGCGCUGUGUUUCUUACUUUCUAGGCAUUCUGCAGACAAAGCUGUAUUUGGCUACACCCCGUAGCUUAGCUGCAUUAACUGAAAGCACCAUCAUUCAAAGCAGCACACACAAAUCUGGCUAAUGACAUUACACGCACCUCGCCACCAUUCCGUCUAUGCACACAGACCUCUCAGCACUACUCUGUUUUGUUUCCGAUUUGUAUACACAGAAUCUUUUAGCUGCCAAGUCAUUAUUAGCACUAUUAUCAGGCGAAUGCACCGACGCCACCCGCAGGGAACAGAAUGCGCUGGGUGGAUUUUACCUUCACCUCCUAAUGCUUCGCUCUCGACUCGGAGCGGCGUGUUUUCAUUAGCACGUGCUUCCCCCUCUUUUCAUCCUUCCUCCUCUUUUGUGUCAUGAAGUUUUUAAGAACAACCGCAGGCUUCACAGCAGAUGACGCUGAGGUCUGCACGUCUGCCUACCUGCCACUCUCCCUGCCUGUCCGAGGAUCAAUGAUCACUUUGAAGCACACAUUAAGGAACGUCCGAAGCAGAAAAUCCCAGAGCGCAUAAUGAAGCAAUACUAAAGGUGGAUGACAGCCAACAAAGGAGAACCACAAGCGUGAUCUGAACUCCAACAACAUCUUCGUAGAGAUUUCAAAAUAACAGCCUGGAGUUCUGCUCUGAAUGUAAGGGAAGUUUGCGCUGACCUUUGUAGGAAGAAAACCUCCUCCAUCCAUUAGAUUUAGCUCCAGCUGUCUCUUUGAAUUAAGAUCUCCAAUCCUGGAAAAUACUUUUCUUUUUCUGUUCUUGUCGAACCGAUUUAUCUCCCUUUCACCUGAUGAGUAUUUCAGGACACUUUGAACACAGCUCCAGAUACACGUAUGACAACACGCGAGGCUGUCUGACAUCAGAACUGAAGUAAGCUUUUGGAUGAAAGGAGCCUUCACUAUCUAGUGAAGUCAGUUAAACUGUAUAUUAAUUAGGUUCAGGCCCACAGCUGACAAAAGACAGCGACACCUUUUGCUCAGUCCUUUAUGGCCUACAGAUUUAAAUGUCUUUGAAGGGAUUAAUAUUUUUAUGAUCUGAAAAAUGUGAAUAAAACAUAUUAAAACAUAACAAUGCACCUACAGCCUGUGUAGGGGCUUAAAGGUCAAGAGGUCAUCUAUACAAAUCGUAUUGAGCUGAAUUGUGAAUCCUUCGUCAGACCCAGACAGCCUGAUGUGCCUCAAGAAAAUGUCCGUGUGCUGUUUUUUCAAGAACUGCAACGGAAGAUGGAGUCCUGUUAUUUUAUUUGUGGAUGCUAUUGAACAAAUGAUGGUUUUCUUGUCAUCUUACAUAUUUUUUUACAUUUCAUUACAAAGUUUCUAAUGAAUAAGACACCAUAUUCUGACAGCUGUAGCUAUUCCAGCCUCUCUGUGUGUGAUGUGACACAUAAAACUGCAAAACCGA